CAUACAUAAGCAGAAUCUUGGGAACUCUUUUGGCCAAGAGAUGUCUGCUUACAACGAGGAGACCAGAAGCAUCUCCUUCUCAUCUUGCUCAGUGUAAUAUCAAUGUACAUUCGCAAUCUUCAAUUCACAUCACCAUCCAUUUUGGUUGAGCCAUCAAUUCUGGGACUUGGAUCCUGGAAGAACAUGUUUUCCAUCUAUCAUCCUCCCCUUAGGCAGACAUAGUUACAGAUAGGGCUAAUGGCUAUGAUGUAAGAACCAAUUUUAAUAAAUCUG